CCUACGGGAGGCAGCAGUGGGGAAUAUUGCACAAUGGGGGAAACCCUGAUGCAGCGACGCCGCGUGAGUGAAGAAGUAUUUCGGUAUGUAAAGCUCUAUCAGCAGGGAAGAAACCCACCCUCCGGGGUGGCUGACGGUACCUGACUAAGAAGCCCCGGCUAACUACGUGCCAGCAGCCGCGGUAAUACGGAGGGGGCAAGCGUUAUCCGGAUUUACUGGGUGUAAAGGGAGCGUAGGUGGCAAGGCAAGUCAGAUGUGAAAACCCGGGGCCCAACCCCGGGAGUGCAUUUGAAACUGUCUGGCUAGAGUGCAGGAGAGGUAAGUGGAAUUCCUAGUGUAGCGGUGAAAUGCAUAGAUAUUAGGAGGAACACCAGUGGCGAAGGCGGCUUACUGGACUGUAACUGACGCUGAGGCUCGAAAGCGUGGUGAGCAAACAGGAUUAGAUACCCCGGUAGUC
rnacentral:rRNA from 1 species